UUGGAGGGCAAGUCUGGUGCCAGCAGCCGCGGUAAUUCCAGCUCCAAUAGCGUAUAUUAAAGUUGUUGCAGUUAAAAAGCUCGUAGUUGAAUUUCGGGAUCAAUAUACCGGUCAUGCCUUGGUAUGCACUGGUAUCUUUGAUUUCUCCCUUCUGACGAACUUUGAUGUCAUUAAUUUGGUGUCAUAGGGAAUCAGGACUGUUACUUUGAAAAAAUUAGAGUGUUUAAAGCAGGCUCACGCUUGAAUACAUUAGCAUGGAAUAAUGAAAUAGGACGUUUGAUUCUAUUUUGUUGGUUUCUAGGAUCGACGUAAUGAUUAAUAGGGAUAGUUGGGGGCAUUAGUAUUCAAUUGUCAGAGGUGAAAUUCUUGGAUUUAUUGAAGACUAACUACUGCGAAAGCAUUUGCCAAGGAUGUUUUCAUUAAUCAAGAACGAAAGUUAGGGGAUCGAAGACGAUCAGAUACCGUCGUAGUCUUAACCAUAAACUAUGCCGACUAGGGAUCGGAUGAUGUUAAUUUUUUAAUGACUCAUUCGGCGCCUUACGGGAAAC
rnacentral:rRNA from 1 species